rnacentral:lncRNA from 1 species
CCACGAAGCAGAUUUUUGUUUUGGUUACAGCCCUUCUCUUUCACUGUACAGAAAAGUUCAAGGUGUACUGGUAACAGGAAUUUCCUUUGCUCCACCCUUUCCCUGAACAUUAGGCUUGAAUUUUAUCGAGGACCUGCAAAAUCACCUUCAAAGAGCUGCCAUUGACUGCAUAUCGAUUAGCACAGCUAUUCGGCCAGGGUUCCAGCAUGAAGCACUUUACCAUCGUGCCUUGUACUACCAUCACCCUCAUCUUCCUCUCCAUCAUUCUUCGGAGUUCUUACUUAGCAGAGGCCAAAAUGAGCUCCAGAGUCUCCUUGACAGACCAUGGGGACAAUGGGAGCCAAUGGCCAUGCCCUGAUGUGCAAUUCUGCUCAGAUGUCGCCAAGUGCUGCCAGCUUGGGGUAGACGAGUAUGGCUGGAUUGCAGCUGCUGUUGGCUGGAGCCUCUGGUUUCUGACUCUCAUCCUGCUCUGUGUGGCUAAGAUCAUGAAACUCAGUCCCGACGAACCCAAGUAUUUGCAAGCAUGA